UAUAUCGGAACGUACCCAAGAGUGGGGAGUAACGUAGCGAAAGUUAACGCUAAUACCGCAUACGAUCCAAGGAUGAAAGGCAGGGGACCGUUCGGGCCGUUGUGCUCCUGGAGCGGCCGAUAUCUGAUUAGCUAGUUGGUGAGGUAAAGGCUCACCAAGGCGACGAUCAGUAGCUGGUCUGAGAGGACGACCAGCCACACUGGGAACUGAGACACGGUCCAGACUCCUACGGGAGGCAGCAGUGGGGAAGUUUUGGACAAUGGGCGCAAGCCUGAUCCAGCAAUGCCGCGUGAGUGAAGA
rnacentral:rRNA from 1 species